ensembl:miRNA MIR6505 microRNA 6505
GCAUUGGAAUAGGGGAUAUCUCAGCAUGUUGAGCCCUGUCUCUGGGGAGCUGACUUCUACCUCUUCCAAAG